GGAAUUGCUAGUAAUGGCAGGUCAGCAUACUGCCGUGAAUACGUUCCCGGGCCUUGUACACACCGCCCGUCACACCAUGAGAGUUGGAAAUACCCGAAGCCUGUGAGCUAACUUUUAGAGGCAGCAGUCGAAGGUAGAAUCAAUGAUUGGGGUGAAGUCGUAACAAGGUAAC
rnacentral:rRNA from 1 species